CAGGACUGAUUAUAUUUCUGUGAUGUUUGAUUAAACCACAGCAGAAUCCCAUUGGCAGAUCAGCAGAAACAGCUUCAGCCAAUGACAGUGCAGUGUAUUCACUAGUAUCAGCCAAUCAGAGCGAGGAUCUUUAUACCAACAUUACAUCAGUGAAAGCCAAACGCUCCAGCAGAGCAGAAGCAGGAGAUGUGGAGGAUCUUCAAUACGCCAGUGUUCAUCACUUCAAGAACAAAGACACGAAGACUGAAGAACAUCAGAAGAUGGAGAUGCAGCGUCCGUCUGAUGCCAACAGAUGUGAGGAUGUGAUUUACAGCUCAGUCAAAUAAACAACAUUGGCUCGAUGCUGUUGAUGAUGAUCAGAGACUGCUUGAGUUCUGCUGAUUCACAGAUUUUGCUCAUCAUUAGAGGACGUCAACAUCUGAUUUCAGGCUUAUUUGCUGAUGUGUGUGUUUAUUGUACAGAGUGUGUUUGUUCUGGAAAUGCAUUUCAGGAGGAAAUCAUCAU